UUUGACGUUAAAAUACGUUAAAAUUCCGACAAAAAAUUGUGAUUUAAACCAAAAACGAAACGAUGACAACCACAUCGAUAGCUCAAAAGAUAAAAGAGAGGAAUACCGCUCGUCAAUUAAGAUUCGGUUCUCCAAAAUUACGUGACCAUUUGCGACAAACAAAAACAAUACACAGGCAAGACAAGCACUUCAACGAUCUUUUGUUGUAUAUCCGAUUAAAAUUAGAAAUGCCGAAUCAGAAUAAAGGAAUCCCGUGUGAUGUCAUUCGAUAACAACAGAGCAUUCGAAAAUGAUUUCUUAUCCCGUAUUGUAAAAGACGAACUCCGAGAAAUGGACAUUGACAUUGAGCUGCAAACGCAAUUUUA